rnacentral:rRNA from 1 species
GACGAACGCUGGCGGCGUGCCUAAUACAUGCAAGUCGACCUUAGGGGCGAACGGGUGAGUAACAAGUGGGUAACCUGGACAUCAGAAGGGGAUAACACUUGGAAACAGGCGCUAAUACCGGAUACUGAUGGAUGGACACGUGGUGCAUUAGCUAGUUGGUGAGGUAACGGCUCACCAAGGCCACGAUGCAUAGCCGACCUGAGAGGGUGACCGGCCACAUUGGAACUGAGACACGUCCCAAACUCCUACGGGAGGCAGCAGUAGGGAAUCUUCGGCAAUGGACGAAAGUCUGACCGAGCAACGCCGCGUGAGUGAAGAAGGUUUUCGGAUCGUAAAACUCUGUUGUUAGAGACGCGGUAUCUAACCAUAAAGCCACGGCUAACUACGUGCCAGCAGCCGCGGUAAUUC